UACGUAGGGAGCUAGCGUUGUCCGGAAUCAUUGGGCGUAAAGCGCGCGCAGGCGGUCCGUUACGUCCGUUGUGAAAGCUCCCGGCUCAACUGGGAGAGGUCUUCGGAUACGGGCGGACUCGAGGAAGGUAGAGGAAGGUGGAAUUCCCGGUGUAGUGGUGAAAUGCGUAGAGAUCGGGAGGAACACCAGUGGCGAAGGCGGCCUUCUGGGCCUUUCCUGACGCUGAGGCGCGAAAGCGUGGGGAGCGAACCGGAUUAGAAACCCUAGUAGU
rnacentral:rRNA from 1 species